UGAAACCACAGUGCCUCGGAUUUACGGAGU
rnacentral:sRNA from 1 species